UUCUUUGCUUGUUGUCCAUAUGUCCACACUCCUCUUCUGGGGAUAUUUUGUUCUGAGUGAACGCUUUUUUUUUAUUGGAUAUAUGAUUCGGUAUGGGAAGGAAAUGUUUCCGAGCAGCAGUGGAAACCUGGAAUGAAACGACUUUAGAAACCCUCAAACGUUCACCUGGAAGCCGCGCAUGGAGAGACCCUUGGGUGGUCCUCGAACCCCGCUUUGGAAACGACCCUGCCCCUGCCUCCACCUCAUGCAGCUUCUGAGGUAGAAAGUCAGUUCUUUUAGUGAGCUCAGGUCGACUCGUUUUGUACCGCUGCAUAGGUGGAGCAGUAAUCAAGUGUGGAAUUAUCUACCUAAGAAAAACCCAACGCACAGCACAGGUGUGUCGGAUGAAAGAACAGGAAGCCAUUGGACAUUCUCCGGAGCAGCUCGGGAUAAUACGCGUUUUGUGAUGGAGUGGCGUGAGCAGUCUGCUGUCAGCAGUGAUGAAGCCUACUUGGAGGCGCAGAGGUGGAUUGAGGCUGUAACCAAGAAAAAUUCGGGAGCAACGACUUCCGAUCAGCACUGGAGAAUGGCGUUCUGUUGUGUGAUGUGAUCAACAAGAUCAAGCCCGGUGUUAUCAGGAAGAUUAACAGGCUGCCCACACCUAUUGCUGGACUGG